AUGGCUCAGGAUGAACGCUAGCGACAGGCCUAACACAUGCAAGUCGAGGGGCAGCGCGGAGUAGCAAUACUUGGCGGCGACCGGCGCACGGGUGAGUAACACGUAUGCAACCAACCCAUAACAGGGGGAUAACCCGGAGAAAUCCGGACUAAUACCGCAUAAGACCACGAUAUCGCGUGAUAUAGAGGUCAAAUAUUUAUAGGCUAUGGACGGGCAUGCGUCUGAUUAGCUGGUUGGCGGGGUAACGCCCACCAAGGCAUCGAUCAGUAGGGGUUCUGAGAGGAAGGUCCCCCACAUUGGAACUGAGACACGGUCCAAACUCCUACGGGAGGCAGCAGUGAGGAAUAUUGGUCAAUGGGCGAAAGCCUGAACCAGCCAUGUCGCGUGAAGGAAUGAAGGUCCUAUGGAUUGUAAACUUCUUUUGCAGGAGGGUAAAGUGAGCUACGUGUAGUUCAUUGCAAGUACCCUGCGAAUAAGCAUCGGCUAACUCCGUGCCAGCAGCCGC
rnacentral:rRNA from 1 species